UACGUAGGGUGCAAGCGUUACUCGGAAUUACUGGGCGUAAAGCGUGCGCAGGCGGUUUUGUAAGUCUGACGUGAAAUCCCCGGGCUUAACCUGGGAAUUGCGUUGGAGACUGCAAGGCUGGAGUCUGGCAGAGGGGGGUAGAAUUCCACGUGUAGCAGUGAAAUGCGUAGAGAUGUGGAGGAACACCGAUGGCGAAGGCAGCCCCCUGGGUCAAAACUGACGCUCAUGCACGAAAGCGUGGGGAGCAAACAGG
rnacentral:rRNA from 1 species